rnacentral:rRNA from 1 species
GAAAGACGGGUGAGAAUCCCGUCCACCGAUUGACUAAGGUUUCCAGAGGAAGGCUCGUCCGCUCUGGGUUAGUCGGGUCCUAAGCUGAGGCCGACAGGCGUAGGCGAUGGAUAACAGGUUGAUAUUCCUGUACCACCUAUAAUCGUUUUAAUCGAUGGGGGGACGCAGUAGGAUAGGCGAAGCGUGCGAUUGGAUUGCACGUCUAAGCAGUAAGGCUGAGUAUUAGGCAAAUCCGGUACUCGUUAAGGCUGAGCUGUGAUGGGGAGAAGACAUUGUGUCUUCGAGUCGUUGAUUUCACACUGCCGAGAAAAGCCUCUAGAUAGAAAAUAGGUGCCCGUACCGCAAACCGACACAGGUAGUCAAGAUGAGAAUUCUAAGGUGAGCGAGCGAACUCUCGUUAAGGAACUCGGCAAAAUGACCCCGUAACUUCGGGAGAAGGGGUGCUCUUUAGGGUUAACGCCCAGAAGAGCCGCAGUGAAUAGGCCCAAGCGACUGUUUAUCAAAAACACAGGUCUCUGCUAAACCGUAAGGUGAUGUAUAGGGGCUGACGCCUGCCCGGUGCUGGAAGGUUAAGAGGAGUGGUUAGCUUCUGCGAAGCUACGAAUCGAAGCCCCAGUAAACGGCGGCCGUAACUAUAACGGUCCUAAGGUAGCGAAAUUCCUUGUCGGGUAAGUUCCGACCCGCACGAAAGGCGUAACGAUUUGGGCACUGUCUCAACGAGAGACUCGGUGAAAUCAUAGUACCUGUGAAGAUGCAGGUUACCCGCGACAGGACGGAAAGACCCCGUGGAGCUUUACUGUAGCCUGAUAUUGAAAUUCGGCACAGCUUGUACAGGAUAGGUAGGAGCCUUUGAAACGUGAGCGCUAGCUUACGUGGAGGCGCUGGUGGGAUACUACCCUAGCUGUGUUGGCUUUCUAACCCGCACCACUUAUCGUGGUGGGAGACAGUGUCAGGCGGGCAGUUUGACUGGGGCGGUCGCCUCCUAAAAGGUAACGGAGGCGCUCAAAGGUU